rnacentral:rRNA from 1 species
UGGGGAAUAUUGCACAAUGGGCGCAAGCCUGAUGCAGCAACGCCGCGUGCGGGAUGACGGCCUUCGGGUUGUAAACCGCUUUCAGUUCCGACGAAGCGCAAGUGACGGUAGGAACAGAAGAAGGACCGGCCAACUACGUGCCAGCAGCCGCGGUGAUACGUAGGGUCCGAGCGUUGUCCGGAAUUAUUGGGCGUAAAGGGCUUGUAGGCGGUUUGUCGCGUCGGAAGUGAAAACUCAGGGCUUAACCCUGAGCCUGCUUCCGAUACGGGCAAACUAGAGGGAUGCAGGGGAGAACGGAAUUCCUGGUGGAGCGGUGGAAUGCGCAGAUAUCAGGAGGAACACCGGUGGCGAAGGCGGUUCUCUGGGCAUUUCCUGACGCUGAGAAGCGAAAGCGUGGGGAGC